rnacentral:misc_RNA from 1 species
UCAAAGCCAGCCAUUGCACUUGAAAAUAUGAAGCUUCCUUGGAUGCUUAACCGAAAAGAACAUGCAUGUCAGACUAAUUCAGGAGGAGUCUAGACAUUGCAAUAUGAAUUUUCUGAUAUAUUCCCAAUUACAAUCUUAAGAAACAAUUCACAUAACUGUGCACAUAUACACCUGUAAAGAGGGAGGACAAAAGGAUAAAAGAAAAGAACAAUGCCUAAUGUGAUAAAUACAUUUUUUUUCCUGUGAUAAAUACAAGAUGUAUGGUAGCUCCACUAGAAAUCUGGGGUAGUGUAACUACAAGUCCAGAUUUGGACUGGAGCUUAUGGCAUUUUCAACUUUCUUUUUAACAACUCACUAUAAAACUACCACUCAAAAAAUUUGAGAAAAAAAUAGCCCCUUACAAAUGUUGAAAGAAACUUGAAAUAAGUACGCUUCAAGAAGACGGGAAGAAGCUUCAGACUCCCUUGUAUUUAUAUCUUGAAUCCAAUGCUGCUAGUAGAAACAGUGAUCCUUUCUGUUGUAUCUGUACUGCAUUUUGGAUUAUACAAGCUUUUCAUUUUUACAGUCUUUAAUUCCCUUGUGUCAGCUCUCAAAACAAUGAGAAACUUUUCCUAUGUCUAGAAUGCCGGGAAGAACGUGGUUGUUCAACUGAUGCUCUUGGAGUGGGCCCAGUGCUGUCAACAGUAUCUGGUUGGGCAUCCGAGGAUCGUGGAAGAAGCUUGCACCCAAUUUUCCGGGCAACCAAGCGAGGGGAACUAAGAGAGCUAUGUGAUUUCGUCACCCUCUUCAUCUCUUGUUUUAUUUUGCUAAAUUCUUCUUCAAGCUCCCCAACUCUAGACCUCAUAUUUUCCAUAUCUACUUUUAAAACCUGGUUCUCACGCACAACUGUUACCCACCCAUCUCUCUGUACAAUUUGUCCUGCCGUGUCAGUUGGUACUGUCAUGGGACCUGCAGGGGCAUUUUCAGCGUCCAAGACAUGGAGACAGCCAGCAAGAGCAGUUCUCAACUGCAUCUGCUCAAAGAACAGAACUUGAAGAACGACUCUAAGUGGUAGCCUGUCAUUCUGGGAAGCAUGGGCACAUGCAUCAAUGGAGAGUUUCUGGUAGUCAAUGAUGUUGCAAAGUUCUUCCUUCUCUCUCUCAGACAGCCAAGGAUGAGCCUUGAAAUAUAUAUCCAAUGCUCUGUAUAACCCGUCAUGCAAUGCUCUUGAAGAUUCUGGAAGAGCCUCUGCAAGAGAACGUAUCUUCAUGGGUUUCAAAUUUACAUCAGAAGCAACCUCUGCAAUAUAGUUGUCCAUUAGUUUUGCAACCUUUCUCAAUGGUUCAGAUGAUGGUGAUGUUUCCAGGUCCAAUGAUGGCGAAAAUGAUGUUAUCCUUGAUUCUGAAUUCAUGAAGUGAUGGAUGAUACGUUCCAUGCAGUCAGUAUCAUAUAAAGUAUCAGAAUCUGAGUAAGUAGGAAUAAGAAGAGCAUCCAGGGUUGCCAUUUCCAGUUGCAUCCCUAUUCUCCUUUCUAAAGAAUCCUUACAUGUUUGUCUGACACUCAAAAUCAAUGCAACACGAAGAAGUCCCAAUAAAAAACGGCAGAAUGAUUUCCCCUUCUUUUCUGGGAGAAGCUUUUCAAUAGUUUCCAACAAAACCUUUUGAUCAACAGCAGCAGGUGUCAAGCUGAAACUGGCAACAGUUCUAGUUUUACCACUUUGUCUGCUCUGCCACCGGCCCAGACCUGGUAGAUACUUCCUGGCAUAGUACAUAAUUGCACCCACAAGAUUUUCAGGUCUAACACCUCUUGUUUCCAUUGUAUGGAUUAGUUUUUCAAACAAACCUACAUUAAGGUAAGAGAUGUCUUCAAACCACCAGUCAGAUUCUGUGCUUCGGAUUCUUGCACCGGUGUUUAUUCCAUUCCAUAGGAUGCUACCACCUGGGCUCUGUAACCUACCAUACAUCAUCAUGGGCCACCCAAACAAACUAGGAUCUGUGCAGACCAUCAUAGACAAAGCAUUCAAAGAUUUGCUUACUAUCUGGAGCUUUUCCACCCUUGGCGUCAAUGGAUCACAACUCUGAAGAGCCAAUAUACAGUCCUUCCAGUUGCGAAGUACAUUCUUGUGGAAGAAACUCUCUGAUUUGGACAGCAAGUUAUCUUCCCCAUACUCAUCUGUCAUUUCAAGAUAGUCUGCCGCACAAGAGACAGUUACUAUGUUUCUUGGUGUCAGUUCUGCCCGCAUGCCAUAGCAAAAUUUUACUAUGAUCAGGAAAGUGUCAGGACCACCAGGGAAGUCUUCAAGGGCCAUAGUAAAAGCCUUUUCAAAUGAUUCUUCACAUAUCCGUGCUAUCUUCCCACAUUUUGAUACUAGUGGAAACUGGAUAGAUACAUCUUGUUAAAAAUGGUUCCAAAAUAGAAUUUGACACUAUUAUAUCAUUUCAAUAUAAAAAAAGUUCAGCACUGAUAUAUAAUUAAGUGCAGUAAAAAAAAAUAAGAAACAUUAAUCCUUCUGUUUUGACAAUUGGUGUACGAGAGCCAUUAGAAUUCUAUAUUAUCAGUAACCAGAGAAGGAAAGGUGGUACGAAUAAUGGUAACGGAAAAAAUAAUAUGUAAAAGUAUUUAGAAAAAAAAAAAAUUAUUCACAGAAGAAGAUGAACACAACUAGCAUAAUCCAGACAACCAUAUAUUGAAUAAACAAAGCAGGUUCUCAUUAGUUGAUACAAUUCAUCCAAAUCCCUAUACUUCAUUUCUUUGUCAUUGGCUUAUGCUUUAGAUGUAUUUCAAACUUCACUAGUAAGAUCCCAGCUACCUUUGGAACCAUUUUUGUUUUUUUAACUUUGGUUUACAGUGGAUUGCCUAGCAACCAAAAUAAUAUAAUCCGUAUCAUUUGCUCAAAAUAAGCGAUGUGUUUCAUCCAAUAAUAAUGAAAAAGUAUAUUAUUUUCUUGACAACUCCAGUGUACCAUUCCACUUGUUCCUACAGUGAAUCCAAGAAAUAUAAACUCAUUCAUGCCCUUUGUUACAAUUACAUUUGCAGAACACACUAAGUCCAUAUUGUAAACAAACAAGAAACCCAAACCAAAAACCUUUUCUAUUGAGGACAAAUAGUUACACCAAGAGCUUAUUAAUUUCACUUGUAUCCAGUUUCACGUGCCAUAUUCCCCACCUGUUACUUUGCCUUCCUUGGAUAAAAUGUCAUAUGUUUAUGUUAUUCUCUUUUCCUGCAACAGUUUCCACAUCAGUUUCCAACAUAUUACUUCCAGUACAGACUUUUGUUUUCAAUCAAAUCCAAAUGAGAAUCAGGAAGCCUUGACUAAAGUUGCAUAGCAAAAAUAAGGUAGAAUUCUUGGGUUCAACAAUGCAACCAUGAGGAUUGAUUCACAUUACUCAUUAGGAUCAUGACAUGUUUUUGGUCUCUCACAGAAAAUACCUUUCUGUCAAACAACCUACUUAUAUGAGCAUCUUGGUCUCUAAGCAACCUUACAAAGCAAGCAAAUUUGCUGAAGUCCAAAGAACAAGACAUAAAUCCAGAAAUCUAGCAUCUCUAGUUUGUUUAUUUGGAAAGACAUCUGAGAAGAUGCUAACAAAAAACAAGGAUCAUAACAUUGUGGUUUGGAACAGUUGGAUCAGUAAUCAACCACAAUUAUUUUCGGUGCCUCCAUGGUUUCUCCACCUCAAUAUUCUUCACUCCUUGAUUUUUGAAUUCUCAUAAUCCCACCCCAGUUGCUUACAAAUAACAUAUAAUGUUACAAUUUCCAGGGCUUGCAUCAUCAGAACACCAAAAUAAUUACUUCAAUGCAUUCCCUUAUACCUUUGCUAUCCCAUACAGGGUCUAGAUUCUUUAAGCCUGGGAAACUCACUUAAAAAAUAAGAACUCACUGGCCAGCAAGAAGCCCCCAUGAGUAAAUAUCCAUUUAAAUGGGACUUUGCGAAAGCCCAAAGGAUUUAACAAACGUGAUGUAGUGAACCCAUAAAAAUGAACCAUUAAAGGAAUGAGAAAAAUCAUUGAUUUCCCUGGCACGCGACUAUAGGACUCUCUGAAUGCCAAGAACUUACCAGUCACAUUAAGCUUUUGAAAAUGAAUCACCCAAAUUUUAAUAAGAAAGACGAACUACAACAAAAUCAUCAUGAUGAAGCAUAAUUUAAUGAGAGAGAGAGAGAGAGA